GAUGAACGCUGGCGGCGUGCCUAAUACAUGCAAGUCGAGCGAACGGACGAGAAGCUUGCUUCUCUGAUGUUAGCGGCGGACGGGUGAGUAACACGUGGAUAACCUACCUAUAAGACUGGGAUAACUUCGGGAAACCGGAGCUAAUACCGGAUGAUAUUUUGAACCGCAGGGUUCAAAAGUGAAAGACGGUCGUGCUGUCACUUAUAGAUGGAUCCGAGCUGCAUGAGCUAGUUGGUAAGGUAACGGCUUACCAAGGCAACGAUGCGUAGCCGACGUGAGAGGGUGAUCGGCCACCCUGGAGCGGGGCCACGGUCCAGACUCCUACGGUAGGCACCAGUAGGCAAUCUUCCGCAAUGGGCGGGAACCUGACGGAGCAGCGCCGCGUGAGUGAUGGCGGCCCUCCGAUCGUAAAACUCUGUUAUUAGGGAAGAACAGAUGUGUAAGUAACUGUGCACAGCUUGACGGUACCUAAUCAGAAAGCCACGGCUAACUACGUG
rnacentral:rRNA from 1 species